rnacentral:rRNA from 1 species
AGAUUGAACGCUAGCGGGAUGCUUUACACAUGCAAGUCGAACGGCAGCGCGGACUUCGGUCUGGCGGCGAGUGGCGAACGGGUGAGUAAUAUAUCGGAACGUGCCCAGUAGCGGGGGAUAACUACGCGAAAGCGUGGCUAAUACCGCAUACGCCCUACGGGGGAAAGGGGGGAUUCUUCGGAACCUCUCACUAUUGGAGCGGCCGAUAUCAGAUUAGCUAGUUGGUGAGGUAAAGGCUCACCAAGGCGACGAUCUGUAGCUGGUUUGAGAGGACGACCAGCCACACUGGGACUGAGACACGGCCCAGACUCCUACGGGAGGCAGCAGUGGGGAAUUUUGGACAAUGGGGGAAACCCUGAUCCAGCCAUCCCGCGUGUGCGAUGAAAGGCCUCGGUUGUAAGUAC